CAUCUUAUACAAUUUUUAUAAGUAUCGAUGACAAUAUAGAAUAAAUAACUAAGUUUACAAAGGGGUUAUUAGGGAUGCCUAGCAGAUAUAUUUAAAAGGACGUUUAUACGAAAAACAUAAAUAAUUUUAAAUAUUAUGUUUUCCUAAGGGAAACCUUUUAAUUUUACGUUGGUAAGUAAAACAUUUCAGUACCAAUAGGAAAGGAAAUCAACAGAGACUUCAGGAGUAAUGGUGAGUGAAACUGAAUUAGCCAUACCUGCUCAAUCUAAAAGAUAUGGGUGAGGAUAAAGUAAAUAAUAGAAUAAGAGUGUUUUGGAAUAAACAAUGGAUUUAAUUCUAACUUUAGGAUUUUGUCUACCGAAGAAGGUGAAAGUCCUGUCUUUAUUUUAUUAUUUACUUUUAUAUAAUAAGUACAAUGAGGACGUCAGCCUUGUUGGAAUAUGGGGAUACCAUUCUCCAAGGCUAAGUAUAAUAUAUCUAGCGAUAGUGAAGAGUAACGUGAGUGAAAGGUGAAAAGAAAGUAGAUAACUAGUGAAAUAGAUUCUGAACUAGUAGCCCUAUAAGCAGUUGGAGUUCAUUGUAUUGAAUGACAACGUACCUUUUGCAUAAUGGGUCAGCAAGUUAAUAUGUAGAGCUAGGUGAGCAACCUUAGCGAAAGCAACUCUAUUAUUGAAUAAAUUCUUGUUCACUAUUCUAUACUAAUUAUAGAAUAGAAAUAGAGGGAUAGUUUUAUGUAUUAGACCCGAAGCUAAGUGAUCUUAUCAUGGUCAGGCAAGAAGUGGCCGAACAGGUGAAUGUUGCAAAAUUCUCUGAUGAACUGUGAUAAGGGGUGAAAGGCCAAUCUAACUUAGAUGAUAGCUGGUAUUCUGCGAAACCUAUUUAAGUAGGACGUUUCUAUCGAUUUUUAUGUGUACAGCACUGAUCAUCAUACUUAAACUUUUUAAAAUAUGUAAGUUAUAUAUUUUACGUUAAAAUGGGGGGUGUGACAACUCUACUAUUGAUGGUUAACCUCGGAAUAAAUAAAAAUUAGUAGAGGCGUACAGUCUAUUCAUGAUAAGGUGGAUAGACAAAAGGGAAACAGCCCAGAACACAUGUUAAGGUCCCUAAAAAAUAUUAAGUGAAUAUAAGAAAGUUUUUCUAGAUAUACAACCAUAAAGUAGGCUUGGAGGUAGCCAUCUUUUAAUGAUAGUGUAACAACUCAGUGGCAGAACACUCUAGAAAGGCGUCGAAGAUUUAUCGGGUCUAGAUAUUUUACCUAAACUGUGUAUAUAUAUUUGUAUAUUUCUAAAAGAUUAUAAAUACAAAUUAUAUUGGUAGCAGAACAUUCAGUGAAGGUGAAGAUUUAAGUUUCUUAAAUUGGAUGAAACUGAAGAGAGAAUGCUGACAUGAGUAACGUAGAAAGGAGUUAAAAUACUCCUCGCCGUAUACGAAAGGUUUUCAAAGUUAGUUUACCAACUUUGACUUACACGGUUUCUAAGAAAUAAGGCGAAAGUCUUUUUUGAUGAAAAAAUCAAUGUAUUGUCUUGAAAAAGGCCUAGAAAAACCAUUGAUUUCCUAUCUAAAAGUAAGAUAUAGGAAUAACCGUACCUUAAACCGACACAGGUUCGUAGGUAGAGAAUACUAAGGCGUAGAGAUAAUGCUUGUGAAGGAACUCGGCAAAUUGUAUCCGUAAGUUUGACGAUAAGGAUAGCCAUGGUAUCGUAGUAUUUCCAAUACUUUAAGAAUUCUAAUUUUUAGAAUGUGGAAAGAAAUGAGCCGUGUGUGUCACAAAAUCGAGGGCUGCGACUGUUUACCAAAAACACAUCAACUUGCAAAGACGUUUAGUACUUGUAUAAGUUGUGAACUCUGCCCGAUGCCACCAAGUGUAAAGAAAGAUGAUGGUAUACAUAAUGAUACUAUUUAGUCAUCAACUGAUACUGUGGUCAAUGGCGGUCUUAACUAUAAGGAUCUAAAAGUAGCAAAAUUCCUUGGCCAUUAAAUGUGGUCCUGCAUGAAUGAGGUAACGUGGUCCUGCUGUCUCCACAAGCAUCUCAGUGAAAUUGAAUUAGCCGUGCAGAUGCGGUUUACCUUCAGAUAGACGGGAAGACCCUAUGCAGCUUUACUGUAGUUUGAUAUUGAAGGUUAUAGACGCAGAUGUAGUAUACAAGGUAGUGCCCUGCACAAAAGUGAAAUACCUUGUCUGUUAAGUUCUAUAGCAGUCUUAAAAAACUGAAGAACUUUAUCAUUUUCUUAUUUUAGAAAGUAGAUAAAGUAGUAGUAGAGUUUUGACAGUAUCAUACGGUCAGUUUGACUGGGGCGGUCGCCUCUAAUAAAGUAUCAGAGGUCUUCAAAGGUAUAUUUAAUUUGGUCAGAAGCCAAAGAACUAUGUAGAGUUUACUAAAGUGUAAUGAUAAAAUAUGCUUUACUGAAAGACAAACAAGUCAAUCAGCUACGCAAGUAGGACAUAAUGAUCCGGUGGUUCGAAAUGGAACGGCCAUCGCUCAAGGGAUAAAAGUUACGCUAGGGAUAACAGGUUUAUCGUUUGCGAGAGUUCAUAUUGUCCAAACGGUUUGACACCUCGAUGUCGACUCAUCUCAUCCUCCAGGUGUAGUAGCUUGGAAGGGUUCAGCUGUUCGCUGAUUAAAGAGGUACGCGAGUUGGGUUCAAUACGACGUGAGUCAGUAUGGUCCCUAUCUUCUGAAGGAAGAGAAUCAAAGGAGGAUCUUUGACUAGUACGAAAGGACCAUCAAGGAUGAUUCUAUGGUGUACCUAUUGUUUUAAUGAAGCAUAGUAGGGUAGCCACAAUCAUGACAGAUAAGAGCUGAAAGCAUCUUAAGCACGAAGCACACCUCUGGAGAUUCAUAGAAAUUAGAAAAAGAAUAUUUCUCUUUGUUACGGCCUCCGGCCUAAAUAACAAAUAAUAAUAGGAUGCAAAUGUAAGUAGAGUAAUUUAUUUAGUUUAGCAU
rnacentral:rRNA from 1 species